CACUCGCACCCCUGACCCAUUGCCCAUGAGCUGCCCAGGUCUCCAUCUGCAUGCCACACCCCACACAGACAUUUCCGGGGAUGGGUAAAUAAGUGAACAGAGGCCUGUUUCGAGGAGGCAGCAGAAGCUUGGAGAAUGGGCAUAAUUCUUCCAUAUUCCAGAGGAGCUGGGAAGCAAACUCAUUUCUGACUUGCAAAACCUGGCUGGCUGUGGCCUUAUAACCUUGGGGGGGGGGGGGUGCAGGGCAGACCCGGGUCCCAACCCCAGCCCCUCUCUUUCGAGUCUAGGAGUCUAGCAGAUGCCUGUGGCAGGCAGAUUUCAGAGCAGGCCACGCACAGCAGGCUGCAGAAAGACCGACCUGGAGAGAGGGGAAGGGGCAAGCUGGGGAGAAAGCCAGUGAGGACCAGCUGUCAUCCGGACUCACACCCAGAACAGGCCCUUAGGCCUGGAAGAGGAGAGAAGGCUCUGCAGCCAUGGAGAAGGCCUUGCUGCGGCCGGAGCUCCCACCCUGGGCGAUGCUGGACAAGCCAUUUCCCUCGCACAGGGCUCGGUAAAAUGAAGCAAUAACUCUCUGCUGCCAGCAGCCGGCGGGGGCCAUGAAAGCCAAAUGAGGGUGGGGGUUCCCAGAGCUCCCGGAUCGCUGCCUGCAGCGCGGACAGAGACCAGGGAGGCGGCGGGCUCGGGGUCCCCGCAGACGCGUGAUGUGGGCGUGCAGAGGGGAGGCGGAGGGGGGCGUGCAAUGCAAAGUCCCAGGGCGGCGGGGGAGGGGACCGAGAGCCUAGAAGGGACCCCUUUGGCGGCAGACCCCGCCCCGCUCACCUGCUGGGAAGCCCCGCUCCCGGUAGAGUGAACCCCACCCCCACCGCGCCCGGGCAGCCGGGCGGGCAAAGUCCACACCGCGCCGGCCGAGCAGGAAGCCCGGAGGCCUCGGCGCUGCGGGAACGCGGGCACCGGGAACAUAGGGCACCCCCGAGCCCCCGACUCCUGCGCUAUUGUUCCGCGCCCCGCCCCCCGCACCUGCCGCGCCGCGCCCGCGCCCCCCGGCCCGCGCGGUACCUGCGCCCCCGAACGCGGCCCGCAGCACCCACGCCAGGCUCGCCGCCGCCUUGGCCCGCGAGAAGUCGUACUGGUCCAGCGACUUGAUCUCGGGCACCAAGAAGGUCCUCCGCAGCGGCCCAGGACCCGCGGGCGCCGCCUCCACCAUGGCGACGCGGGCUGCGGCGCCGGCUCCGCGCUGCGCCCCACUCCUCCUCGCCGCCGGCUGCGCGCGCUCGUCCCCGCCCGGCCCAGCAGCCCCGAAGCUGAGCCAGGUGCGCCCGCCCGCGUCCGCGACGCUGCGUCGGCUCCGCCCCGGGGCGGAGCCCAGGUGCGCCCCGCCCCUGCCCUGCGCGGGCCCCGCCCCCCAGCCUGGCUAGGACCCGCGGGGCGGCGACCCGAACUGGGCAGGGCGGGGGACUGCGGCGGUGGGCGGGAGGGAAGGAGGGAGGGGUGUUGCGAAGGAGCGCGCGCGCACGCGCGCGCGUGUGUAUGCCCGCGUGCGUGAAUGUGCGUGUGGUGUGUGUGUGUGUGUGUGUGUGUGUGUGUGUACGCGCGCGCCCGGAGCACCGGAGGCCACCAGGGCCCCGGUGUGCCCGUGCAUAUGUGCCCUGGCGUCCACACAGGGCUGUGAGCCUCACCCAGCGAUGCAUCUGUUCUGACUGUAUUGGUGAGGGCACAGGCAUGAGUGUCUUCCAGCCAGGUGUCGUAGUACACACCCGUCACUCCAGUGGGCAGGAGGCUGAGGCAAAAGUAUCACCUCUGUUUCGAGGCCAGCCUGGGCCACGUGGGGAGUUCAGGGCCAGUCUGGGCUACAAAAGGAGAUUCAAAACAAACAAAAAACCAAGACCCAAUGUGCGUCUUUCACGUGGGUACGCCUCUCUGAAUGCAUUUGGAUGGUGGCUAAGUGUAUGGGGAGAUCCAGUCCAGGCUUGUGUGCUUCUCUGACAUGAGCGUGACAGUGCAUGUAUGCAUAUGCCUGUGUUCAUGCACGCUGGAAAUGUGUACAAAAAUUACACAUUAUGUAAGUGUUUGUAUUUUUUCUCUUUUCAUUUUACAUAGCCCCUGCUGGCCUUGCACUCACGGUGAUCCACCUGCCUCAGCCUCUUGAAUGUUAGGAUGACAGGUGCGCACCGCCAUCCUAAGCAAUGUUUGAAUUCUGAGAAUAAAAGUAUUGAGUGUACGUGUACCUCUGCUUUGUGGGUGGGUAUGAGUAUGUGUUUGUGCAAAUCUAAAUGUGCUUGUGUGUUGUAGAAGGAUGUGGCUGUUUCUGUCCGUACAAGAGUAUAGGGGAGACCCUGGGGUGGGCAGAUCUGUACAGGAAAGUGACCGUUUGGUGAGUGUGCUUGUGUGGCUGUGAGUGGAUAUAGGUGCGGUGUGGACUGGGUUGGCUGACUGAGUAGGUGAGGAUGUACUUGUAACUAAGUGGAUUUGUAUAUGAGUGUGAAUGUGGCUGUGCACACGUGCAAGUGUGUGUGACACGGUUUUCCAAAUGUAUUUUGGGGGUAUACAGUUAGCCCUUUGUAUCAGCAGGUUCAGAGUCACCGGACUCAAUGAACCACAGUUUGAGAAUAUUUGAAAAACAAAUUCGGUCUGCACUGAACAAUGGGGCUGACCUUUUCUUGGCAAUAUUCCCUAAGUGAUACAGUGUAGCGACUAGUUAUGGCAGCUUGCUGUUUCAGUUGUUACCAGUUACCUGGAAAUGAUGUGAAGUCCCACAGGAGGAUAUACCUGGGUUCUGAGCCAAUACUCCUCCAUUGUGGAAGGGCUUCAGCACCUAAGGAUUGGAGAAUCUGUGGGGAGUCUGGCCCCACUCCCUGGAGGUGCCAGGAUAACUUUGUUAUCUGUUUACAUAUGUUUAUGGAUUUUAGUAGAUGGUGUGAGCCUAAGAUUGCCAAGUCUGUAAACGAUGAGAGUAGGUAUAAAAUUCAAGGAAUUUUAAUUCAUAAUUCAGGUGUGGUGAAGCUGAGGCAGGAGGGUCAUGGCAAGUUUGAGGCAGCCUGAGAUAGAGAGAGAGAGAAAGAGAGAGAGAGAUUCCUACUUGUGAAUGCAUUCAUGAGAGUAAUUAGGUGCAUACUGGCUUAGGAACUGAAUGUUUGUGUACUCACACAAAUGUAUUUGGGAGUGAUGUGAAUCAAAUGUGCAUGAAAGUGUUAUGCAUACAGAUAUAUGUGUACAUGCCUCCACGCUUUUAGUGUUCCUAGGUAUGCCUAAAGCCCUAUUUGUCAAUAUUUAACAUUUGAGCCAUUGUGGUUUUGUGUCAAAACCUCUGCUGUGUGGCUCUCACCUGUGUAAAACUGUGAAGUGUUUGUGUUUGUGCAAGUACUAGGUCUUUCCAGGCCUGUGUGUAAGUUUGUAUAUGUGGACAUAACAAGUGUACAUGUGUAUAUGGUGUGUGCCUUACCAUUUGAUGCAUCCAUUUCUGAGUAUAUUUGUGCAGGUAAAACUGGGCAUGUGUAAAUGGAUGGACAUUUGAAUUCAUCUUUGUGUGAGCAUUUACACUUAUGAGGUGACUAAGCACAAAGUAUGUGUGUGUUUUCCUUUGUUUCUUUAUUUUAUUUAUUUAUUUUGUCUUUUUCUUUUUUAUUGGUACCAGGGAUCGAACUCAAGACCACACACUUGCAAGGCAGGCGCUUAUGCCGCUGAGCUAAGUCCCCAGCCCCUACUUAUUUUUCUUAAACGGAGUCUUGCUAUGUAGCCUAGGCUGGCCCGGAACUCACGGCGAUCCUCCCGAGUCCGAGUGCUCUGCUGUCUGAGUGCUCAAAUUACAGUUGUGCACCACCA